rnacentral:rRNA from 1 species
UACGUAGGGUGCAAGCGUUAAUCGGAAUUACUGGGCGUAAAGCGUGCGCAGGCGGCUAUGCAAGACAGAUGUGAAAUCCCCGGGCUCAACCUGGGAACUGCAUUUGUGACUGCAUAGCUAGAGUACGGUAGAGGGGGAUGGAAUUCCGCGUGUAGCAGUGAAAUGCGUAGAUAUGCGGAGGAACACCGAUGGCGAAGGCAAUCCCCCUGGACCUGUACUGACGCUCAUGCACGAAAGCGUGGGGAGCAAACAGGG